rnacentral:rRNA from 1 species
UACGUAGGGUGCAAGCGUUGUCCGGAAUUAUUGGGCGUAAAGAGCGUGUAGGCGGCCAGACAGGUCCGUUGUGAAAACUCGAGGCUCAACCUCGAGACGCCGAUGGAAACCGUUUGGCUAGAGUCCGGAAGAGGAGAGUGGAAUUCCUGGUGUAGCGGUGAAAUGCGCAGAUAUCAGGAAGAACACCCGUGGCUAAGGCGGCUCUCUAGUACAGUACUGACGCUGAGACGCGAAAGCGUGGGGAGCGAACAGG